CCCAAGUGAUGCCGUUUGGAUCGUUUUCCCUUAUAACACAUCCCUCUCCUAUCUGACGAUAGCCUGAGCAAGCUGCGGAGGGUCUGUAUUCCUGGUAGCACCUCAGAGCAGAGGCACAAGGGAGGCAAAGGCUCUUCCCCAAGGCCGGGCAGAGGGUCUGUGCCCAGCACCAUCUCCUGCUCCCUCUCAUGCUGGAGAGCUGCUGCUCGGGGCCAACGCAGACAUGGAUACCUUCAGCUGCAGCUCUCAGGAUGAGAUGGCUCCAGGAAACAGCAUCACAAAGUUAGCAGCAUGAAGUGGAUGAUGAGAUGGUGUCAUUCCCAGAAAGACUUCUGCUGUUGGUAUCUCGUGAAGCAUCUUGACAGUGUGAUGGCAUCCCACAGCUCCUUGUGCUUCUUCAGGUCACACAUGAGGAGUUUUUUCAAACAGCAAGUUAAGGCGAUGGAAUGAAAUCAGUGACAUCUGCCACUCACACUCUCUCCCACCAUCCUGUUUACCCAUAGCCCCCCUUUUUUCCUUUUCUUUUUCUAAUGCUCGUGGUUUUCAUCCCAUUCAAUAGCCACCCCCAAUUCCACUCCUGACCCCCCAGUUUCCCCAGUAAUUACUCUGGGGAAUGCAUUUGAAUCUGAAUCUCUCUCCUCCAUUCUUUGGUCUUUUUUGCCUGUUGAUUUGGAGAUGUCUUAAUGUUCCAUUUGAGCUGAGUUGUCUCCCUUCAUAAACUUCAGUCAUGUCCAUUUUUAUUUAGUCUCCAAGGAAAUCAAAGAUCAUGUCAUGAAAAUGAUGUGUCCAGCAUUUAACAUGAUCCCAUGCUGAUUGUCACAGGCUUCUAGGAAUUGUCAUACUCUGUGUUUCUCCCUUCCCUAUUGUGGUUGACCAUCUCCAUAACAAUUUAAAUAAAUGAAAUCUAAUUAAAAAGAAAAAGAACAAAACUGCCUCCCCACUCCCUCUUUAAAAGCUGAAUGAAUAACAUUGAAUCCUCUCCAGUAGAAAAUUUAUGAGGCUGAGAGUUAGGGUCCUGAUCCUGAAAUCUUUACUCAUGCACUAAUCCUCACACACUUGAUUUAUCCUUUCAGCUUCAGUUCACACAAUGACUCAUAAAAAUAAGUGAUGUAGGAUCGGUCAGAAACUUCAGAAACUUGAAAAUGACACAGUUUUCCCAGUGUUUUCUUUCAUUAUUAUGAUUUUUAACUACUGCCUAUGCAGGCAGAGAAAAUAUAUUCAGCACAGAGUUCUUUCCUCAAUCCUUACUCCAACAAGUAAAGAGAGUAGGAAGAGAUGGAUUUGAUGUGACAAGCACACAGCUAUACCUUUUAGAUUUCUUCAGCAAUAGAAUUCUUUGCCUUGUACAAGAUUGGGACUGUUGCCAAAUGGACCAUCCCAUCGUGCAUCCCUUUUAGAGCAUGGAAGUUCUCUAUCACAAUGCUUUAAACUAUCUAUUUAGGACAAGCUGCUUCAACAACAAAACAGCAACAACAACAAAAGAGGAAGAGAAAAGGAAACCUAGAUGCUUGUUUGCUAGUAUUGCAAACUGUUUGCAAUAAAGAUCACUACCAAGAAGGAAACAAAGGAAAUUUGAGACUAUAGUAAAGCCUGAUCUGUUUAAUAUAUGCCCCUAAAACUUAAUGUGCACAGUUAGGAUCAACUUAAGUGAAGUACUCUGUCACUAAAACUCGGAUCGAAACAAUCCUGCUGUAAAGUUUCUUUCCUGAUGUCAUUUUGAAGUGAGAAGAGGAAAGAAGAGAAACAAAUUGACACGUACUGUGAUAAAUUCCUGUAAUGGAUUAGAAACAGUGCAUUGCUGACACUGAAGUCAGAAGAACAGAACAGUUUGGGAAAUGGUUCAGAGAUGCUGGCUCUGGUUAUUUCUUCCAGUGGAGUAAUAAGAAUGCUGGAAAUUUGCCUUGUGUGUGUGUGAUCUGAACUCAAGUCCCUCUGGAAAUGCAUUAAAAAAAAGGGAGGUCUCGUUGCUAAAGGGUAUUGUUUGGAAAAUUACACAAAACAACAACCAGCAGAAGAAAUGGCUUUUGUACACGAUGGGAAAUAUCAGGAAUGGAUAAAGUUAUUCAUACUAGGCUGAAUUCUCAUGUCUUCCUUCCUAUCUGAAACUUAAUAAGAAGUAAAGGGAACUUAGGAUUCGUCCUGCUGCUGCCUCCCAGGUAUUCAGCUCAGAAGGUCCCAUCAGGAUUUCAGGAAGGUCAGCUAUGAAGACCGCUGGAGAGGUGGAAGAUUGCUUGCUGACUGCCUAGAAUCACAUUUAUCCUUUUUCCUUCCUCUACUGUUUUGGGUAGUAAAUUGUGGUACACUUAGGAGGUUACCCUCCAACAUCUGGGAAUCAUUUUCACACCAAAUGAUGGAAAGACAGCCCUCAAUUACACCACUGAA